rnacentral:lncRNA from 1 species
AUUUAUUACCAGUUUACUGGAUCACUCGUGAAUUCCGGAACGACACCGUGACGCUCAGAAACGCGGCGCAAACCCCAGAGUGGAUUUGCAGGUUUAUGUUGCAGUUUACGGCUGACCGGACUCGUAUAUGACGAAAUUCGCGCAGCGCAGCAAAAAGACGUGCGAAAUACGCGGGAACUCCAUUUAGGACCCUGUGUGUUUCCGUGUGUGUGUGUGCGGUUGCGGGUACUGGAGACAGUUUCAUAAACACCCGAAUCGCUGUGGAUGAGACACAAGCCGUUUUAGCAACAGCUGAUGACACGUUUGGGGGCGCCCCAAAAUGAAGCGCAGGAUAAACACGGCGGGGAUGAGAGAUCGAAAGGUCAAAGUGCGUUGCAUACGUGAGUGGUUCGAACGGAUUGCGAAAAGCCCACCGAACUCGAGGACCCUACUUCGCAGCUCUAACGAGCAGCACCACUUCAGAGCCCAUUUCGAGCUGAUAGUAAUCCCACUAACGAUGUACUUCAAAAAUAAUCAAGUUGCGAAACGGGUUUGUUAAAUUGUGAGCGUGCAUAAAAAUGAAAGAGAAAAUGUAGUUUUAACCAUAUGGAAAUACAAAUGUAUAUAUAACUU